GGAGAGUUGGCCGAGCCAGGUAAGGCACCAGGUUGCUACCCUGGAAUCAAGGUUACACUUGCACAGGUUCAAAUCCUGUACUCUCCGCCA
rnacentral:tRNA from 1 species